UUGAAGAAGAAUGGUGGGAGAGAGGAGAGGAGAGGAGAUGAGGGGAAUCCAAGAACAUCCAAGCACUCCAGGACAAAGCAAAAGCUUCAGAACGGAGAGAAAAAGCAAGCUCUGCUUUUUGCGACUCAGAAAAGGAGAUUUCAAACCCCAUAACCCCUCCUCACUCCUCACUUGGGAAAUUGCGUGGCUACUGAUCCAAACAUACAAACAAAAAUCCACCCUACCCCCUCUCUCUCUCUCUCUCUCUCUCUCUAGGGAUGUGUAUGUGGGUGCCUAUAUUUAGUGGCAAGCUGGGGUUUGCAUUUCAACCCCACAUCAUCUUCCUCCUCUUCCAUCUCUCCUGCCAAAUUCUAGAGAGAGCUUGCUGCGGGAAGCCCCAUCUUCUUCUCGUCCUUGUGACUGUGCUUGAGCCUUCCCACACAAACCCUAAGUCUCAAUCUGCCUUAGAGGUCUCUUCAAAACCCUAAUCCAAGCUUCAAGCUCCAGCUUAAUCCUUCCACUUUCAUAGGAUCUCGUCUCAUUUCUCCUGGUUAGAUGUGGCCGUGUCCUUGCGGUAUAAUUCAGACACGCAUGCAUGCGCUUGAAUGCGGUUUUGCAUUCGAAUGAAUCCUAAAAGAGAUGAUUCUCAUAUCGAACGGACAAUACCAUGUGUAUGCAUAAAGAAUGUGCCUGGCUCCCUGUAUGCCAUUUGCGCAGCCCACCGCAGAAUCGAUGGUCCGUGUGUAUGGCGUAUGAGGAGCCAUGCAUAUCCCCGUGCUCUUUCAUGGUCUUUCCCCUGCUUUUUUCCAGGUCUCUUUGGGGUCACCACACGCUUUCCUUUGCUCAAUUCGAGCUUUCGUUAGUGAUUGUCUGAGACAAUUCGACAGAGGCCUGCCCAUGAAGAUUUCUGAGAUGAGCACUCAAUUUCCAUCCAUUCCUGAAGGAUUAUCUGUAUAUGAGAAAACCGAAUAGAGAAAAUGGGCAUUGCAAGGGUUGGAUGAAAGUCUAACAGGAUGAUACGAUCUCGACUAAUGGGAACUUGCAUUGAUAGUUGUGGGUGAGAAAAAAUGUAUGAUUUCGUAGUUAUAAUUACGAAAGAAGAUCAUGAACGGAGUGAAAGGAAAAUUUGAAGACGGAAAAGGAUUCAGAGCCCAACUAAAGCACAUUGGAAACAACCCUUUUGAAGUUCGAAAAGAAUUAUGUUUGUGCUGUUUGUUAGUGUUCUGAUUAGUUUUCCUACAUCAAUACUCCGAGAAGAAUUGUGCUCAUGAUUUAAGAUGCUAAUAAAAUCUUCAUGGUGAGUAUACGUAA